UGCGAAUGAAUGUUUGACGGCGCGCGC
rnacentral:sRNA from 1 species